rnacentral:rRNA from 1 species
AUUGAACGCUGGCGGCAGGCUUAACACAUGCAAGUCGAGCGGGGUGAUGGUGCUUGCACUAUCACUUAGCGGCGGACGGGUGAGUAAUGCUUAGGAAUCUGCCUAUUAGUGGGGGACAACAUCUCGAAAGGGAUGCUAAUACCGCAUACGUCCUACGGGAGAAAGCAGGGGAUCACUUGUGACCUUGCGCUAAUAGAUGAGCCUAAGUCGGAUUAGCUAGUUGGUGGGGUAAAGGCCUACCAAGGCGACGAUCUGUAGCGGGUCUGAGAGGAUGAUCCGCCACACUGGGACUGAGGCACGGCCCAGACUCCUACGGGAGGCAGCAGUGGGGAAUAUUGGACAAUGGGGGGAACCCUGAUCCGGCCAUGCCGGGUGUGUGAAGAAGGCCUUAUGGUUGUAAAGCACUUUAAGCGAGGAGGAGGCUCUUUUGGUUAAUACCCAGAAUGAGUGGACGUUACUCGCAGAAUAAGCACCGGCUAACUCUGUGCCAGCCGCCGCCGUAA